GGAAGACCUAAAAAUAGUGGCAAAAAGCCAACCGAGUUUGGUGAUAGCUGGUUACUCAACAAAUGAACCUUAGUUCAACUUUAGGUGCCCACGAGCCAACUACUUAAACCCACCACCCAUUGACCUAAAGAAACUCAAUGGGGGUACAGCCCCAUUGAACCGGAAUACAACCCGAAUUGAGAAACACCUACUAAACUCUAACCCCAACAGUAGGCCCCAAAGCAGCCACCAACUAAACGCGUUAUAGCUACAACAAAACAAUUUUUACAAUAAUAUACACCUCCUAAUAUACCACGAGUUAUUCUAUUCCUCAAUAGAAACACCAAUGCUAAAAUUAGUAAUAAGAAACUCUAAUUUCUCUCCGCACUCCCUUAAAUCAGAACAGAAAAACUACUGAUAAUUAACACACCACGACCUCCAACAACUAGCUAACAUGUCAACUAUAAUCUGUUACCCCAACACAGGGGUGCAAAAAAGAAAGGCAAAAAGCCAUAAAAGGAACUCGGCAAACCCUACCGUCCCAACUGUUUACCAAAAACAUAGCCUUUAGCUCAACAAGUAUUAAAGGUCCCGCCUGCCCAGUGACUCUUUAAACGGCCGCGGUAUCCUAACCGUGCAAAGGUA
rnacentral:rRNA from 1 species